AUAUUUUAUUAUCAUAGAAUAAAAAAAUUCUGUUCUUUUGUGUGGCUGUGGCAAGUUUCAGUGGUAUAUAUGUAAUAUAUUGAGAACAGGGAGGGUUAAUCGGUAAAUAGCGUCCCUUUUCUUCGUGUAAUUGUAAAUAGCGACAAUGCGGAGAGAGCUGCCACUGCACUUCUCUUUUUCACUACCUCACUCUUUUCUCGGCUUUGAGCUUUACUAUUGUUCUCUCUGCUCUUCACUUGAAGCUUUUCUUUCUACAUUUGCCCUUUUUGUGCUUGAGAUUGCAUCUUAAGCCUCAAAAUAGGUCUACUACCAAUGCCAAUGGAUGGAACGAGGGAUACCUUUGCAUCAGGAAGUGAAUCAAAUAAAGAAGUUGAAAAAUGAUGGCCUCAAAGGUUUUAUCAUAAUAAUAGGAUUGCAAUUCAACUUACUGGUUUGGACGACACCAACAUCAAGUCCUUGACAGCGUUUUCUUCUUUCAAGUAACUGAAUUAUUUUGUUAUAAGCAUGAUGCAAAUGAAAUUCAUAUAGCAUUAAUAUAUUGGUGUUUAUAUAUAAGCUUUGCAGUAUUUGAGUACUUUGGUAAAGAACUUAGAAUGAUCUUUUCUUUUAAUUUAGCUUGGUGCAGAUUGCUUCCAAGGUGCCAAUAGAGGCAAGUCUUUCUACCCAUUUCUUCUUUUUCAUCUUUAAUUGGUGCAGUCUUAAGUUUAAACUCAUUAUUAUUAUUAUUAUUUGCAGUUGGCUAUAUCUAGAUUGCCAACAUUAUUGAUUAUAUAUUUAAUUUAUUAUAGUAGUCAAGAUUUUCUUUGUUAAUAUUCAUUGUCAUUUAAUGUAUAAG